AUGCUAGCUUCAGCAGCACAUAUACUAAAAAUUGGAAUGAUACAGAGAAGAUUAGUAUGCCCCCUAUUCAAGGAUGACAUAAAACUUUGUGAAGCAAUCCAUAUUUUA